UCAGUGGUAACUUAGUGGUUAAGACGUUGGACUACAGAUCAGAUAGUUUUGAGUUCAAAUCCCAGCACCAUUAAG